rnacentral:rRNA from 1 species
UAUCCGGAUUUAUUGGGCGUAAAGAGAGAGCAGGAGGUUUGGUGCGUCUGUUGUUAAAUCCCACCGCUCAACGGUGGAACUGCAAUGGAUACGAUCAAACUAGAGGAUACUAGAGGUUACUGGAACACACGGUGUAGGGGUGAAAUCCGUUGAUAUCGUGUGGAACACCAAAGGCGAAGGCAUGUAACUGGAGUAUUCCUGACUCUGAGUCUCGAAAGCGUGGGGAGCAAAAAGGAUUAGAUACCCUUGUAGUCCACGCCGUAAAUGAUGUCUACUAGCUAUCGGAAGUAUCGACCCUUUCGGUGGCGAAGCUAACGCGUUAAGUAGACCGCCUGGGAAGUACGAGCGCAAGCUUAAAACUCAAAGGAAUAGACGGGGACUCGCACAAGCGGUGGAUCAUGUGGUUUAAUUCGAUGGUACACGAGGAACCUUACCAGGGCUUGUACCCUAUUGAAGUCAGAUGGAAACGUUUGAUGCCUGAGAUUUAUCUUUGGCAAUAGGGCAGGUGCUGCACGGUCGUCGUCAGCUCGUGGCGUGAGCUGUUCCCUUAAGUGGGGUAACGAGCGCAACCCUCGUCCUGUGUUACAAGUGUCACAGGAGACUGUCCGCUUUAAGCGGAAGGAAGGUGGGGAUGACGUCAGAUCAGCGUGGCCCUUUGAUGCCCUGGGCUACACACAUGAUACAAUGGUCAAGACAAAGGGUUGCCAAGCCGUAAGGCGGAGCUAAUCUCAAAAACUUGGCCUCAGUUCGGAUUGAGGGCUGAAACUCGCCCUCAUGAAGUUGGAAUCGCUAGUAAUCGUGAAUCAGCCAUGUCACGGUGAAUACGUUCUCGAGUCCUGUACUCACCGCCCGUCACACCAAGGGAGCUGGUAGCGGAUAGAGUCUCACCUAGCGUGGGAUGAGUUCGAGAUCAGUGACAGGGGUGAAGUCGUAACAAGGCACGCGUAGCGGAAGCUGUGCGUA